GAAAAAUACAAUUACAGUGAUUGACAAACCAUCGUUUUAUGAUACAUGGAAGUUACGUUGCAAAACUACUGCGGUUAAUUACAACAUAGCUCAGCACUCAGCAGCAAAGAAAAGGUUUAAUAUGUAUCGGUACAAAUCAGUUAAGUGCAUCUCGCAUGAAUUGGUACCACAUCCAUUCGAAAGCAACGUCUGGUAAUACUCUAUAUGUUUUCCUGAACCUUUAGAAGAGGUACUAGAAUAAGGUUUAAUUAUCGGCAUGAAAACAAACCUCUUGUUCUUGUUCGUUUCCUGUUUUUUCAUCCUUGUGUUUGUCCUAACAAUUAAAUAAAGAUAUAUGAUGAUAAACGACUAUUCCAAGCGUUAUUCACCCUAGCCCAUGUCAACAUGUUUUACUCUUUAUAAACCACCCCCUGAAUCGGUUUGGUUUCCCCAUAUCCCUAAAAAAACUUAAUACCUUCAAAAGAAAAACUUUCAUUGUGAAAAUACCGAAAAUGUUAAAAGAGUUCCAUCUGCCUCUCAGCACUGUUUAUUGUUUCAUUUCAAAGUACAUAGGCAGCUAGAAGAAUGUUGUGACACGGAUGGCUCCGAGGCUGGCCAAGCUGCUGGGCCUGGGGCUAAACCAUAAUGAGGCCCAAGAAUUAAACAGUCCAAUACUAGAUUUGAUUGGGAUCUAGGUUGAGUAAAAUUUAUAUAGUUGUCAUCUACGGUUUUGUGAAAUUAUGCAUAUUGUAAAAAAAAACUAUAUGAUGCUCUCAUCUCUUUCUAGAGUCUAAACCUCUCACCCUCAUUCUUGUCUCUAUCUUUAGUUACUUUGUUAUUUUCAUAUUUCCAUUAUAAUUUAAUAGUUGAAGUGUUGUCACUGUAAUUCGACUAUCAAGUAAUUAUCUAAUACUUGAGUAUUUAAGUUGAGAAUUCGGGUUUGUUACAAAGAAUCAAUCUCAUCUGUUGCAAGUGUGGAAGAGUCUAGAGUCGCACAAUGGAUUUUAGUCAACAGCUUGAGAAACCCAAGACUCAUGGGGUAGUGUUUCAUGCACAAGCAUAUCUCAAUUGUUUUGAACUUAUCUGCACGGACUCUUCACUUUUGAUGCCGCACCUGUGUCGGAUUCUCCAUAAAUACACUACUUUUGACGAAUCCGACAACAUAGGUUUUGAAUAAUUCAAACUUUGACCUAUUCCUUUUGUUUGUAAGAGCAGUUCUUUUUUCUUCAUAAUUUGUUUGACCUUUGUUCCUAUUGUUCAUAUUCUAUUUAAAUUUUCAACAUAUUGAAGAUGAGAAUUAUAUGGAUAGCAGACUUAGCCUUCUUCAACUCAGAAGCUUCCCUAAUUAUAAGCAAAUAUAAAAUCUAAGCGUGAACCUUUUUUCGAGAAUUACUCCCAAGGAACUUAUACUGGACUUACCAACCUUCAUCCAAAACAGUCGGUUAAUCACAACAAGACUGAUCAAUCAAGAGUCCUCGGUACUUCCGUCAACAGACACACUCUUUAAGGAGUUCACAUUUAGUUACAUGGCAGGGGUGAUCUCUAAAGCUAAUAGGCCAGUGACAGAAACUGGUAGGAAGUGUAAUGCAAACUUCAAUUACUCUGGUGUGCGACUCUGCUACAGUUCAGUGUUACUGUUUGAUGCCUUACCGCUACUGUCUCAGCUAACUUUCAGACAUCUCCUUACAAUAUUUCUAAAUGAUUCAAUAUUCACCAACUCCCAAGGCCCUAAUUCUUUCCCCUUUGACAGUAAACAUAUAUGAAGGUACUAUCCUACGGACACUAGACUCUCGACACUUUCUAAGCAAGAAUCAAUUCUCAUGGUCCAGGUUUCAAAACAUCAAAUACACUAACAAUGUAAACAUAAAAAACACCUACAGGUUCUUCUCAUUUUAGACGUAGAUUAAUAGCCAGACAAAAGAGUAUGCAACCUACAACAAUUAGCUAACAUAACGUGAAUUAUUUAUUCAAACUGACAGUUUGAAUAACUUAAGAAUAUCAUAAUGUGUUAUGGAAAACUAAUUGAUAGGUAAAACAAUUCUAGUCGAUAUAAAGAGUGAUAACGUACCUGUCUCCCACAGGCUUGGUAAAUAUCUGAAGCAGAGUCCCCUGAUCAUCCCUGUCAACCAAGAUUCCCAAAUCUUCACACGCCUGGAUUUGUUCGUCACUGAGUACAUCCCCAGCCCUACUUUUCAAAUUCUUAUAAUAAGUAGGCGGAGGUGA
rnacentral:lncRNA from 1 species